rnacentral:rRNA from 1 species
GACAGAGGGUGCAAACGUUGUUCGGAUUUACUGGGCGUAAAGCGCGUGUAGGCGGCUUGGCAAGUCGGAUGUGAAAGCCCACGGCUCAACCGUGGAAGCGCAUCCGAAACUGCUUCGCUCGAGUCUCGGAGAGGAAGGUGGAAUGCUUGGUGUAGAGGUGAAAUCCGUAGAUAUCAAGCAGAACACCUGCGGCGAAGGCGGCCUUCUGGACGAUGACUGACGCUGAGACGCGAAAGCGUGGGGAGCAAACAGG